UCCAGAUCAAUAUCACAACAAAAUUGGAAAAGAAAAUGUUUCUUCCCUAGAUUAUAAUCGUAUCCCUCGAUGCGGAUGCAAUAGAUUUGCUAACGUUGUACGCAUAUCCUGGAAUUGCACCACACUAGCCAUAAAAAAAACAACCCACCACACACAGAUAUACUACAUCCUUGAUUCCUCCUCCAAAUCCACUUGCCACACCACCUCUUCCCCACUCGUAAGUGACAGCAUCGCCAAAUCUUCCUCCAUCUCCCAAGCUACUGUCGUCAGAACAACCCAGACAUAACUACAG
rnacentral:lncRNA from 1 species